CCUACGGGAGGCAGCAGUGAGGAAUAUUGGUCAAUGGACGAGAGUCUGAACCAGCCAAGUAGCGUGAAGGAUGACUGCCCUAUGGGUUGUAAACUUCUUUUAUAAAGGAAUAAAACGAGCCACGUGUGCCUUUUUGCCUGUACUUUAUGAAAUAGCAUCGGCAAACUCCGUGCAAGCAGCCGCGGUAAUAGGGAGGAUGCGAGCGUUAUCAGGGUUUAUUGGGUUUAAAGGGUGGGCAGGCGGAUUUUUAAGUCAGCGGUCAAAUCGUGGGGCUAAACCCCAUCCAGCCGUUGAAACUGGGGAUCUAGAGUGUGCGAGAGGUAUGCGGAAUGCGUGGUGUAGCGGUGAAAUGCAUAGAUAUCACGCAGAACCCCGAUUGCGAAGGCAGCAUGCCGGUGCACAACUGACGCUCAGGCACGAAAGCGUGGGUAUCGAACAGGAUUAGAUACCCUUGUAGUC
rnacentral:rRNA from 1 species